ensembl:lncRNA
GUUCUAUGAAAUCAUGGAGAGCCCAGUGCCAAGACCGGCUUAGAGAACAGAUGCCAAAGUGAACUCCUGGACCUCUGGGAUAGCCCUUCACUCACACUCAGCAAGCAGGCUCCAAGAGAAGAAGGGGACAGGCCAUCACCAUGAAGAAGCCAGAGGAAGGGAAUGGGGGGUACUGAUGAAACACUGGACUUGAUAAUUAAGACCCCCUUCUAUCUAUUCUCUCUCUCUAUGAAAAAGCGCUUUUAAGCAUCACACCAAUUUGGUCCUGGAAUUUGGUCAAUCUGGCCUUUUCCAUCAGAAUAUGCUCUACAGAAGGAAAAAGCCUCAAAGGACCCUCCUGGCAUGAAUGCCCUGCUGCUCCCCUUCACUAGACCAGGGCCAAGAUUCCUAUCGAGGUAACUAG